GAAACGUUUAUUAGGAGCCCCAACUCACAGGAUCACAGACAAUGGAACAGGGAAGUAGCUCAGGAGAUGGUCUGGAAGGUGUCGGCGCCCUCUGCUGUGGCAGUGUCGUGUCCCAGGAAAAGGAGAGACAGCUUCACACUUGAGCCCAGGGUGCCCACUGUAUUCCCGCAACACAGCACAGUCCCAAGAAAGGCCCGCAGGCUGCAUCUGAUUGGCUGCGUCUCCUCUGACGCCAUAAGUGCGCGCCAUUGUGUGAACUACCCAAGCAGGUUGGCCUGGGCAAUGCUGUGUGAAUCUUCUUUCUGGGCUCCGCUGCUCUUGGCUUCCCGGCUCUGCUCCUGGUCGCGGCCUCCCGUGGUCAGCCUUUCCGCUCCCUGUUACGGAGACCUCAGGACCAGGACUCCUCAGAAGCUGGAAAAUGUGACGGUGGCUCAGCUCUGGAGCCCCGAAUCCGCCGACAUUGUUGAUGAGGACAGGAAGGACUUCGAAUUCAGACUUCAGAUCUGGCUGUCAUGGGUGAUGAUAGCAUUUGAAGAUCUAGCUGUGUACUUUACCUGGGAGGAAUGGCAGAAGAUGAACAAAGCUCAGAAAAUCCUGUACAGGCAUGUGAUACUGGAGACCUACAGAAGCCUGUUUUCCUUGGAGGUUUGCUGGAAGAGAAGAGGUUUCCUGGAAGAGAAGGUGAAUGGUAACAGUCUUUAGAAAACUAGUAUGGAUCAGAGAUUCUACUGUGCCAAAUGACAUUAUGACAGAAGUGAGUAGAGAAAACAUGGACCCAUUAGGUGGUAAAAAAUAGACACGUUAGGUGGUAAAGCAAAACAUAAUCCACCUGCUGUUGUGGAAUAACCCUUUAGUCAUGGGAAAAGGCAGGAAGGAGUACCUUCUUAAGAAGAAUACCGGCAAUUUGAUUAAUGAGUAGAAACUAAGAACAAGUCAUUACAGAGUUAAUGGAAACAUCUAUUUGAUAAUUGCAUGAAAAAUGUUACUGUAAAGAAAUAAUUUAAAAAUUUAAGGAUUGUUGUACAAAUGAAUUACAGUAAACCAAAGAAACCUAGUGCUAUCACUAGAAUUUACUCUAUAGAAAAAAUACUUGAGUGGUAUUAACUAUUUUCCUAUUAAUACAAAUGCACACUGGCAUUUCAAUUAGAAUACUUCUUGCUUACAUUCCAUAAACAGUAUGCAUCUGGUUAUCUCACAUUUUUGCCUGCAACUUUAAGGAAAAUGUUCAAAAUAGAUGUUUAUUGUAGUACACGUCUCCAUAAUGCUUCAGAUGACACUUCAUUUAUCCAUGCCCUCACAGUUAUUCCUGACAAUGACCCUUGAUUUUCCCAUUUCAAUUGCUUUAGCCAUUGGGAUAUCAGAAAAUAUGAUACAAGCACAGUGUCUAAUAGUCCUUCUUUGAAACAGUGAUCAAGUGAAGAAACCUGGGGCCUACUUCUUGGAAACAGAGAGAAUAUGUUAGAGCCAGAACAAAUCACCAGACAUGUGAGUGAAGUCAUCUUUAAGACACCAGGCUCAAUCAAGAACUUGACCAGAACCUUGUUAUCUACCUGCUGGAUUUUGCCACAAACAAGGAAAAGAGGUGAAUAUAAGAGUUUCAUGGAGCUCCUGCUGCUACUUCUGCUCCUGUCCUAUUGAGAAUGGGCAUGGAUGCUGUGAUACAGUUGAAGAGAACUUCAGUGGGAAUGUAAUGGGGAUGAUGAUUCUCGGUUCACAGCCAUUAUUCAUUUUCUCUAUGGGUAGGAUAUGAAAUGUACUAUUCAAAUUCUUGUAUCAUCUUAGAUGCUGCAACUGCCCAUCAGUUACUUUAUUCUGCAAACUAAGAGACUCAAGCUUUGAGAUUUCCACCUUAAGUACCUCCACCUCAGACCAAAGAAGCAAAUUUUGUGUACCCUAAAUGCUUAGGUCUUAGGGUCACACUGAUUUAAACAGAAAAUGGAUUGCAUAGAUCAAAAACAUAGAAUGCCAUCAUGGAGUAGUAGGUCCUAAUAUCUGCUCACAACAAUUAUUGUUCCUAUAAUAGUGAUCACUUGUCAGCAGGACAUUCUACAGUUUGAGAUGUGGAUUCCCAGCAAUCUGCAUUGAACAGAGAAAGUGGAAAGGCCACACUCAAUUGCUGACUGAUCAUUUUGCAACUCACUUCCUCUCUCUGUAUCAUAGUCAUACCUUCCAUGUAAUGACUGGAGUACUUAAUUUUGAGUACCUAGUCAGUAAGAGGAGUUCUAACAGUUAAUUUGCACUGAAUGCAGAAGAAUAAAUAAUAUAGUCCCUAUAGCAAAAACUAAAGAGAUCAAUGACAAGAGAAUACACUAAUUAAGGAUUCCCUUGGAAUUAAGGGAUUACUCAUUACUAAUGAAGAUAACACAGUUAUGCACCUUAGGUGUCUGAACUUGUUGAGCUCUCUAUUCCUUAAAUACAUUCUAUAGGAACAUAGAUGAGGCCAGUGCUGCAGCUCACUAGGUUAAUCCUCCAUCUGCAGUGCCAGCACCCCAGGUUCUAGUCCUGGUUGGGGUGCCAGAUUCUGUCCCAGUUGUUCCCCUUCCAGUCCAGCUCUCUGCUGUGGCCCGGGAGUGCAGUGGAGGAUGGCCCAGGUCCUUGGGCCCUUCACCUGCAUGGGAGACCAGGAGGAAGCACCUGGCUCCUUGCUUCAGAUUGGCGCAGCAUGCUGGCCAUAGCGGCCACUUAGGGGGUGAACCAACGGAAAAAGGAAGACCUUUGUCUCUCUCUCUCUCUCUCACUGUCUAACUCUGCCUGUCAAAAAAAAUAGAUGAGGGCCGGCGCCGUGGCUCAAUAGGCUAAUCCUCCACCUUGCGGCGCCGGCACACCGGGUUCUAGUCCCGGUCGGGGCGCCGGAUUCUGUCCCGGUUGCCCCUCUUCCAGGCCAGCUCUCUGCUAUGGCCAGGGAGUGCAGUGGAGGAUGGCCCAAGUGCUUGGGCCCUGCACCCCAUGGGAGACCAGGAAAAAGCACCUGGAUCCUGGCUCCUGCCAUCGGAUCAGCGCGGUGCGCCGGCUGCAGCGGCGGCCAUUGGAGGGUGAACCAACGGCAAAAGGAAGACCUUUCUCUCUCUGUCUCUCUCACUGUCCACUCUGCCUGUCAAAAAAAAAAAAAAAUAGAUGAGAUUAACAUCACCAUCAUCAACAAUCUAUUGAAGACCUGCACCCUGCAUUAACCAUCAUUAUUAUUGAUUCAGUUUACAUGAUGCAGGUAUUUUUCAUGCAUUUAUAACCAUAUCCAUCUAUAUCUCUCUAUCUAUAUAAUGUUAUACAGAAAGGAAGUCAUAUUUUCUGUAGCCUGGAAUUCAAAAUAUUAGUGUGUUAAUAUCACACACAAAAAGUGAAAUAAUUAAAUAUACACAUUUCAAAAUUAUUAGGAAUCAUAAAUUUCCUAAAAUGUAUAUUAUAUAUGAGUAUAAUUAACUUGCCAUAUUAUUCAUCCAUUGAAAGUGUAAAGUUCAGGGGAUUUAAGAAAUGUGCAACCAUAAUGAAUGCCAGGUUAGAACAUUUUUACUAUCUCAAAAAGAAAUUUAGUGCCCUGACUCACGGCAGUGGCAGGGAGAUGGCAACAGUUGGCCAGUGGCUCUUCUGUAUACAUGUGAUCCAGAGAUUCUAUCAGAAGAAAAAAUCCUAGGUCCCCACCUUCUUUGAGCCUGGCUACAAGGACAGGGAGCUGGGCACCCACUUGAGACUGUGAGGCACUCCUGGCCUCCUAAUAUACCACAGGCUCUGGGGCUCAAGCCACUUAGGCUGAACUCCAGCAGACAGUGGACUCAGGGAAAAGUCUGCCUCUCUGUGGACUGGACAGGUGGGAGGUGGAGCAGACUCACUGCACCCCGCAACUACAGGAUCCUUGUGUGCUGAGGCUGUGAGGACACGCUGGCUGCAUGAGAAGGUACAGCAUGUAUCUCGGCCUCUGAGAAAUCACUGUGUGUGGCUCUAAACACUCAAGACAAUGAGACCUGUGCUUGGAGUGAGGACUGCAGAUCGUGUCUGUGGUUCACACAUGGGUGCAGAUGAGUGUUGCGCCCACUGGGGGCUAACACCUGAGCAUUGAUCAACUUGGAGGAAAGCAGAUGAGGCUGUGAUCACACCAACAGAGGUGACCAUUCACUCCCUUUUGUUAACAAGAGGAGAUCUACCUCACCCUAGUUGGGACUUACCCUGGAUACUCACACCAUGCUAGGGCAUUGACCACAGCUCUCUGGUCACACCCAGCACACACCUCUGGGCAUUCACUGAAAGUGCAAGCGUUCCACUAAGCCACAAAGCAUACUUCAAAGAUAAAAGCCAUCAGAGGAAAAAACCAACAAGUGUAGCCACAAAUGUCUAAAAAUAUAUGCAGAAAUUCAAUUCAAGAAACAAGAAUAAGGAACACAGCAUGACACCCCCAAUAAAAGGAACACAACAACACAUCAAUUUUUUUAAGGUCACACUGUUUUUAUUUUCUUGCUCAAUGAAAAUAAUUUUUGAAACUUCAAUGUGUACAUUAAAUGUAUAGAAUAUCUGCAACACAUCAAUUUUAAAAUGUAAAAAUGAAGAGCUUGAUGAAAUGCUGGAAAUGAGAUUGAAAAAAUUAAUCAUAGGAUUACUCAAAAGCAAACAGAAGCAAACCCAUGAAUUAAAGAAAGCCAUACAUUACAUGAAAGAAAUUUUUUCCCAUGAAAUUGGGAUUUUAAAAUCAUAAUCAAAGUGAAAUAUUAGAAAUGAAGAAUUCAAUAGAUCAAAUAAAAAUCCAGUGGAAACCCUUAACAACAGACUUAUAAAGGAGAAGAAAGACUAUCCAAGCUAGAACACAAAUCUUGGAAGGAGAAGGAGGACAAGGAGGAGGAGGAGAAGGAGGACAGAUAAUUAGAAAAUGCUAUACCAGAAGAAGAAGAAACUAGAAAAUUAAGAACAGUGUUGGAGAUUUAUGUGAUACUAUCAAACAACCCAACAUAUAGUUCUUAGGAGUUCCUGAAUUUGGAGUUCCCUGCAGACCUGGAGGAGGCUCCUGGCUCCUGGCUUCAGAUCAGCUCAGCCAACUGGGGAGUGAACCAGUAGAUGGAAGACCUCUCUCUCUCUCUGCCUCUCCUUCUCUCUCUGUGUAACUCUGACUUUCAAAUAAAUAAAAUAAAAAUUAAAAAAAGAAAUAUCUAGAAAUGUUUCUGUAUACUCAGAUUUUGGCAAAGAAGAUUGAAGAAGGUGGUUAGAAACUUAAGGGCUCUUUGCUAAAGAGCUUAGGAGAGUGCAAUCUAAGAUGUCUGUCCCAACUCAUUCUUUAAGUAAUAGAAGUCUGAGAGGCCUUGUGUGAUUAUGUAAUGUUCCUUCUUUUUUCUAAAAUAUAAAAAAGAAAACCCACAAAAACAUAAAAAUAAAAUUAUCUGGUUUUGUGCUUGUUCAUUUUUCUAAACUAAGCAUACAUC